AACGAACGCUGGCGGCAUGCCUAACACAUGCAAGUCGAACGAGACCUUCGGGGCUAGUGGCGCACGGGUGCGUAACGCGUGGGAACCUGCCCUUAGGUUCGGAAUAACUCCCCGAAAGGGGUGCUAAUACCGGCUAAUUUCUUCGGACCAAAGAUUUAUCGCCUUUGGAUGGGCCCGCGUUGGAUUAGCUAGUUGGUAGGGUAAAAGCCUACCAAGGCGACGAUCCAUAGCUGGUCUGAGAGGAUGAUCAGCCACACUGGGACUGAGACACGGCCCAGACUCCUACGGGAGGCAGCAGUGGGGAAUAUUGGAAAAUGGGCGAAAGGCUGAUGCAGCAAUGCCGCGUGAGUGAUGAAGGCCUUAGGGUUGUAAAGCUCUUUUACCCGGGAUGAUAAUGACAGUACCGGGAGAAUAAGCUCCGGCUAACUCCGUG
rnacentral:rRNA from 1 species